rnacentral:rRNA from 1 species
AGUGAACGCUGGCGGCAGGCCUAACACAUGCAAGUCGAGCGGAUGAACAGUGCGUGCUCGUUGAUUCAGGUGCCGACUGGUGGGUGAGGCCUGGGAAUCUGGCUGUUUGUGGUUUCUAACGGCCGGAAGCGGGGGCUAAUACGGCAUACGUGCUGAGGGAGUAAGGGGGGGAGCUUCGGACCUCACGCUAUCGGAUGAGCCUAUGUCGGAUUAGCUAGUUGGUGGGGUAAAGGCCUACCAAGGCGACGAUCCGUAACUGGUCUGAGAGGAUGAUCAGUCACACUGGAACUGAGACACGGUCCAGACUCCUACGGGAGGCAGCAGUGGGGAAUAUUGGACAAUGGGCGCAAGCCUGAUCCAGCCAUGCCGCGUGUGUGAAGAAGGUCUUCGGAUUGUAAAGCACUUUAAGUUGGGAGGAAGGGCAGUAAGUUAAUACCUCGCUGUUUUGACGUUACCCACAGAAUAAGCACCGGCUAACUUCGUG